GCACACUUAUCUUAAAAUUGACUUUAGAUGACCAUGAAUAUGACCUACUGACCUACGUUUUUUAGAAGCUUUAGCAAACAAAUUUGUUCAAGCAAGUAACCUAACUCAGGUGAGCGAUAUAGGGCCAUCAUGACCCUCUUGUUUAAUUUGUGCUCCGCUCUUAGCCAUUAUACUGCCAUUCGCAUUUGCUAAAGUACCUUGUACAUUGUGUAAAUAGCAGUCAUGAAUAACAUUGCCUUUCACCCCUCACCAUGUAGCAAAACGUAUAGGUUUUCAUUUCAGACAACACACAGCAAAGUUCCAAAUCUGACAAUGGAAACUCGACUGUCGGUGCAAUUUUAGGAGUAACAAAUAUCUUGACAGUAGUGUAUGCAGCUUAUGUAACAGUGGUUAUAAGAAGGUCACGAACAAGGUUGUUUGACGUUGGAAACUUAUGCCACAGAAGGCGUGAUCCUGAUCCUACAGCAACUGUUGCCAAACGGGAUCUGGCAGUUGAUCAACAAACUUACUCUGUAAACGACAAUGAAGACACUUAUGAUUUAUCAAAAUAAGCUGGGGCUAAGAACGUGUCAUACGGAGGUCGUCAUCAAAUUUUUCACAUAGUUAUCAAAACCUUACAUUAUUCUUUAUUUUUCCUUUACUUUUUCUUGAUGAACGUAAAUUUUCAGAAAUAACUAACUAUAACUACAGCAAAAAAUAAAUUUAUAUGUCUGGAACUAAACUUUCAGAAGGUCUAGUCACCAAUGCAAUGACUAUCUAAAUACAAAAGUUAAUUAUGUUUUUGUUAAAGAUGGUAACCAGUACAGUCACCAUGAGUUGAGUUGUGCGGAAAUAAAUACUUCGUGUGUGAAGAAGAUGCAACAACUACCGGAAGACAACAUUCAGUGGUUAAUCAUAAUACACAUUUAAAUGAUUAUUUUUACAAAUGUCGGGAGAUAUACUAUGAUUGCUGAGAUCUAAAAUAAUCGGACGAAAACAUCUUAAAACAAGGCAUAUUAUUGCACACUAGAUAAUGUGUUUGAUAUCAAAAGAACAAAAUCAGCAUUGGGUUAAGAUCGCCCGUGAACUACUGAAACUUGAAAUGUUAUAUUGUUCAUUUGCUAUCAUAGUAACUGGCGGUGAAACAUGAAAGCAUCAUUUUGAGUCAAAAAGAGAGAUAAAUAUGAAAAUAUGAACAGUCAAAUUAGCACAUGAGUCUUGUAAAUAAAGAAUGAAUGCAGGAUUGAGUAUUUAAACAUUAGUUCUAAAAUGCAGAUUUAAAUUCCUGAUGUAUAAGGUUAAAGUUCUAUUAAAUUGUCAUAUAUCAACGAUAUCAUUAUGUAGCAAUUUACGUUAUAGUUGGCUCUGUGUAUAUAUGAAAUGACCAUAGAAUUUUUUUUUCUGCUUACGCAUAUCCGUUUGUCGUUAAUGCGGAUGUAGCUUAAUUAGCGAUGCAUAUUAUUACUUCUGCCUACGCAAUUUAUCUUGUUAGCAUACAUUUGUAACGUAGUUGUUUAAUAUGUAGAAAGGCGAAUAUUCAGGAGCAGCCGAUAUAGUUAUUGUCACUUGUUUGAACCGACUGAACCAUUGUUUUUACUUUACUUCACAUACAUGUGUAUUGAAAUAUUUAUUGCAUAUAUCCUAUAUAUUUCUAUUCCAACUUUCGAUUUACAGUGUACUUGUCUGUUUCACACGUAGACUUUUUUAAACAUAUACUGCUCGUAAAUAAUAAAUUGAAACUCGAUAUCUCGAGCUAGCUUAUCUCAAAAUUACUGCUAUCUUAUAAACAUUUUCUAGUCUCGUCCUGAAAACACGUGCACAAAAUAUCAUUUUAAGUCACAUUUCGGUUAUCUCGAAGUAAUACGCUCGAUCCGAGAAAUUUCGAGAUACUGAGUUUCAAAUGUAUGUGGUUUCUUUCUUCUGGUUUUAAAAUCUUAAGUAAAUGGAUAUUUUUUUCAAAGAAUCAUUAUCAUAUAUUAUUUAAAGGCUCAUAAUGCCUUUGUUUAAAAUGUGGCUGCCUCAUUUUCCGUUAUGAACAUAAAAUGCAUUAAUUUCCUGUUUAUAAAUCCUAUUUCUGAUUAUAACAUUCUGUCACAUUUGUCAAAGGUUUAAAUAUUGCUGAAUAUACCAGAAUGAUUUAAUGAAUUUAUUGUUUUUAUUACCUCCCUUUACGGUUUUGACUAUAACUGUUCAUGUGCCAUAUUCAUGCUUUUUUAACCAUGUAAGUACGCAUAACAUUUAUUCAGAAAGCUGCUUUAUCUGUUUGUAAGAUAAAAAUUUAAAGCAUUACUAACCUUUAAGCUUUCUUCUAAUAAAAGUGAACUUUAUUCA